rnacentral:tRNA from 1 species
GGGGUUGUGGCUCAGGGGUAGAGCACUUGCCUGGCAUGUGGGAGGCACUGGGUUCGAUCCUCAGCACCA